UACGGAGGAUCCAAGCGUUAUCCGGAUUUAUUGGGUUUAAAGGGUGCGUAGGCGGAAUGAUAAGUCAGUGGUGAAAGCCUGCAGCUUAACUGCAGAACUGCCAUUGAUACUGUCAAUCUUGAGUACAUUUGAUGUGGGCGGAAUGUGUCAUGUAGCGGUGAAAUGCUUAGAUAUGACACAGAACACCGAUUGCGAAGGCAGCUCACAAACUGUAAACUGACGCUGAGGCACGAAAGCGUGGGUAUCAAACAGG
rnacentral:rRNA from 1 species